AAAGUACACAGCAUUACAUGCACUCAAGGUUGCAAUGAAGACACUCCAGACAAGGCAUGACAGUUUUGAGAUAGGAUACAAGUUCUACACUGGGUGUGGACACUGCAACUUCAGUGAUAUUAAGAACACGUCAAAUGUGCUUCUUCACAUAUCAGAUGAAUUUUUUGGCUUCUCUGGUUUUAAUCUUCAAGCACCCAUCCAGGUUAUAUUCCGUGGAACUGAAUUAUAUCCAUUACAAGAACUGACUGAACCAGCAGUGAAUAAAGAAUUUGAUGAGUUUUUUAAAGCACUGCAGUGGAAUAUUGUGGAUAUAAUUUAUAAAUCAUCCAGUGAAGACAUAGAGUUUAUAAAUGAAAACAACUUGAAUUAUUGUUCGGACAAUCAAUGGAUAUUUGUUGACCUUAGUGCCAGAAAUGUGA